rnacentral:rRNA from 1 species
CUACGGGAGGCUGCAGUCGCGAAACCUUUACAAUGCACGAAAGUGUGAUAAGGGGAUUCUUAGUGCUAUAGGUUUAUAGCUUAUGGCUUUUGACAAAUGUAAAAAGUUUGUCGAAUAAGUGGUGGGCAAGACUGGUGCCAGCAGCCGCGGUAAUACCAGCGCCACGAGUGGUCAUCCUGUUUAUUGGGUCUAAAGCGUUCGUAGCCUGUUUGUUAAGUCUUUUGUGAAAUCUUUUAUCUCGAAUAAAAGUCGUGCAUGAGAUACUGGCUUACUAGGGGCCGGGAGAGGUAUGGAGUAUUCCAAGGGGAAUGGUAAAAUGUUUUAAUCCUUGGAGGACUGCCUGUGGCGAAAGCGCCAUACCAGAACGGUUUUGACGGUGAGGAACGAAAGCUGGGGGAGCGAACCGGAUUAGAUACCCUUGUAGUC